GACGAACGCUGGCGGCGUGCUUAACACAUGCAAGUCGAACGGAAAGGCCCUCGUUUGUGGGGUGCUCGAGUGGCGAAUGGGUGAGUAACCCUUGAUUAACCUGCCCUUGACGUUGGGAUAACUUAAGGAAACUGGGCCCAAUACCGGAUAGGAGCUCCUGCUGCGUGGUGGGGGUUGGAAAGUUUCGGCGGUUGGGGAUGGAUUCGCGGCUUAGCAGCUUGUUGGUGGGGUAGUGGCAUACCAAGGCUUUGACGGGUAGCCGGCCUGAGAGGGUGACCGGCCACACUGGGAUGGAGAUACGGCCCGGCCCCCUACGGGAGGCAGCAGUGGGGAAUAUUGCAUUAUGGGCGGAAGCCAGACGCAGUAACGCCGCGCGCGGGAUGUCGGCCUUCCGGUUGUAAACCGCUUUCGCCUGUGACGAAGCGUGAGUGACGGUAAUGGGUAAAGAAGCACCGGCUAACUACGUG
rnacentral:rRNA from 1 species